rnacentral:rRNA from 1 species
GAUGAACGCUAGCUACAGGCUUAACACAUGCAAGUCGAGGGACCGGCGCUCGGGUGCGUAACACGUAUCCAACCUGACCCUUACUCGGGGAUAGCCUUUAGAAAGAAAGACUAAUACCCGAAGUAUAGGAUGGAGAUGCGUUCGAUUAGGUUGUUGGUGAGGGAACGGCUCACAAAGCCUUCGAUGGAUAGGGGUGCUGAGAGGAAGGUCCCCCGCAUUGGAACUGAGACACAGUCCAAACUCCUACGGGAGGCAACAGUGAGGAAUAUUAGUCACUAGACGUUAGCCUGAAACAGCCAAGUAGCGUAAAGAAUGAAGGGUUAUGAGACGUAAACUGCUUUUAAAUAAGAAUAUGUAUUAAAUGAGUAAGGAUCGGCUAACUCCGUGCCAGCCGCCGCGGUAAUUC